AAAAAGGAAGAAGGGAGGGGAAAAAAAAAAAAAAAAACAACACGCAAAAGGCAAAAUAAAAAUAAAAAAUUAAAAGAGCCACCGGAUCCGGGCGCCGGGGGAGGGAGGGCGGGAUCCGCUCCCCUUCCUUCUGCCGCUGCCUCACUCCUUCCUGCCUCGGUCAUUCACGCGGCCGUCCGCCGCCCGCCGCCGCUUCAUGCCCGCCGCCCUGGGCCCGCUCGGCGCCGCCGCCCCGCCCCGGCCGGCCCCCGCCGCGCCGCCGCCGCUCCAACUUAGGCUCUUCCCGCAAACAAGGGCGGGGGCUCCGCGCUCCAACCGCGGAUGCCGCAUCCCGCCCGGCCCCGCGCUCCUCCUGCCAUGUUCCGCCGCCGAUCGCCAACUCCCGGGGAAGAAAAAUAAAAAUAAAACGAAAAGAGGUUCUUUUAAAUUCCCUUCUCGGGCUCUCAGACAAACUAUUGGGAAGAGGCGGCCGCGGCGGCGCUGCCAGCCAGACGCUGCACGGCUCUGACGGAGGCUCCCCCCCUCCCCGUUGCCUCCGCUGUAACCUCGCCGGAGCCUAUCGCAAUCUUUUGUGCGGUGUCACCGCCCUCCGUUUAAACGCUGCCCUCCCCCCCGCCGCCCCGCUCCCCGCCCGUCGCCUCCCGCUCCUCCCCGGCGGAGGGGGCAGCAGCGCCGUGCCGCGACGGCGCCGCCCGCGCCAGGCACCGGCCGACGGCAGCGCCGACCGCGACGGCCUCGAGGGCCGCCGCUCCGUAUGGCGCCCCCUCGCGGCGCGCGGCGAGAGCGGAAGGCUGGAGUAAAUAAAUACCGCGCGUGGCACAGAGCGGCCGUCCGGCGGGAGGUGGGGGGGGGAGCGACUGGGUGGUGCGGGGCGGGCAUCCUCCGGCUGAGCCGCGUUGUGAGAUGCUGCUGCAGGAGUCUCCAUAUGGUUUGUGUCAUUGCCCCAGGACAAAAGAGACAUCCAGGAUUUGGACAGAGUUUCUGCUGCUGUUCUUCCACAGCCUCCAUCCCAGCUGCUCACAUCAGAAACAAAGCGAGGCCCUAACCCUUGGCAAUUCUUAGCAGCUGAAAGGGCCAUCAAGGCUAGUGGUUAGUAAGAAGUAACCACUUUAAUAUACAGCAAGUAUUCCUUGAGCUUCUUUAAUCUGUUCAAAGGAUUGAUGUACUGCUUACCAGCCCUGGUAUUAGCAAGGGGCAAAAGUGGUCAUUAUUGUAAUAUGGUCAGUUGCUUGACUCCAAAUUUGUGUUACCAGACGUCAUUUUGUUCCAGUAGUAGCCUCAAGUGUUCUUCUGUAUAUAAAAUAUAUGAUGAAGAGUGA